GGAAAAUUAAUAAAAUAAUGUAUUAUGUACACAAUUACAUGCAAAGUUUCUCUAUUACUUGUCAUCUAAUUGUCUUUGUCAAUAAAAUAAAUUCAUUUCUUGUAUUGAGGAAGAAAAAGUCAACGAACAGCAAACAUUUUGGUUUACAGUUGAUUCAUAACUCAAAACAGGGUUUCAAUUUUCAAUUCUUCUUUAUCAUAAUUCCUUAACAAGAAUGGAAGUAAUUGCCAUCACCAUUAUUGCUUUCAUUUUCUUGGUGUUAUUAUUAACAGUUUUGAUCACUCUCUUUUAUAAUGGAGGCAACGGUGAACACCACCGGAGGGAAUUUCACAAAAGAUCAACCACCAUGGAUCAAAGCCGGGUGCCGCCAGCUGAUCAGUGAUGGUAGGCGGCGAGUGGUGGCGGUAGAUGGCGGAUGGUGGUGGAGGAAUAUAUGAAGACUGAAGAGGCUGACAUUGAAGUCAAACUAUGAGGUAGCUUGUGUUUAUAUGUUAUUAUGUGUUUGUAUAAUUUUGAAAUUAUAUUUAAUAUUUGUAAGUAAAGUGUAAAAGUUUUGUUGAUUAAAUUUCGUAUAACAUGAUUAAAGCGACAAGAUCCCAUUAAUACGAAACAGCCAUGAAAAGUUGAAAACACAUCUUUAAAAGUAUACGCAAACGCAAUCAUCGCAUUCCAAGAAACUUAAUUUCUUUAAGACAUUUCAUCGAACACUUUCCGGGCAUUCCUGGAAUCCCAUUAUCUUUGCGUUAGAAUAUUGAUAUCCGAUUGAGUGGCGUUAAUCAUUUACUCUUCGUAUUAUCAUAAUAAAGUAUAGCGCAUUGAAGAUCAUUACCCUAAAUUCGUGGCGAUAAUCGAUAUCUUCUUAAUGAUGAUUACGAAACUAAAGUGGAGGAAACAGUUGAUUAAUCUAGAAUUACGGUUUUCCGAAUUUGAUGAUAAGGAGAGAAUUACUUACGAAUCACGAUAUAGGUUAUAUGUGACAUCUGCGUUCAAUACGAAAUAUGCUUUAUAUCAGAUUCCACUAGUUUAUAGCUUUAGAAAGCGAAAAAGCUUCAUUCAACAUCAAUGGUAGUAAACUGAAAUUCCUCCUGAUUUGAGUCCAAUAAGAUAAAAGCAUCGUCAACCCACGAUUCAUUUGUUUAUUGUUGGUAAAACGAGAGAAUAUAAUCAUAUAUCACCACCUUUUCGGAACAAGUUCUUACGUUUUUUUGGCAAUUAGAUGCUAAUGUUUUUCGGGCAUUUCAACAAGUUUGGAAAAAAAAAAAUCAAAAGCAGAAGAUGCAAAGCAUUUGAAAAAAAUGGUCGAUAGAUGCUGAUUUUGACUUGUACCUCACACUCACAAUUGCAGAUUCCCUCACGUACAUCAAGAACUUGUCCCACGAAUAAUAUUAGUUCUUGCUUUUUGAAGAACAAGUGCUAAAGUGGGGUUCUUAGCAAAAGGAUGAAGGGUAAAUCCGUAACAACCAUCGAAUCCACUUUAAGUAUGUUUUUCAAAUUAACUAAUUAUUCGCAAUAUUAAAAAAAAUGUAAGUUGCGCUAAGCAUAAUAAUAUAAUAUUAGAUAGUUGAAAAAAAUAAUUUUAAUAUGUUUGACAAGUUUGACGAAAACUACCUUAUAAGCUAUAUAAUAAUUAUAAAAUUACAUAAAUUCACAAUUAGAUGUAUAACUGAAACCAGAUUUACACCAUUUUAUUGGAGGCAAAAUGCAUUGAUGUGCCCUCCACUCUUUGUCCCUUUGGAGAUGAUGCAUGUGUUAAUUUCUUGCGAUUUAGCCUUUGAUUUAUGGGCUUUCAUAGAAAAAUGGUGUGAUAUAGAUAUUGAGAAAUUUACAAUUGUGGUCAAGGUAGUGCAAUAGAUUGAUAUCGUUCAUUUGUCUAGUUCUAAUUGUAUGGUGUUGGAGGCGAUUGUUAGACAAUGUAGAAGUUUAUUUGGAAUUUUAGAAAUUGUAUUGUUUGUAAUGAUCAUAGAUUGAGUAAUGGUUCUUUAAAAGAUUCAAUAGUUGAACAACCAUUUUCUUGGUUUAUGGAUAGGAAUAGAAAGUAAAAAAGUUAGUCCAAACAAUAAAAGUUACUAGUAUAAUCUCCGUCUCUUUAGUUGUUUUUUUUAAUCUAAGUUUAAACUUAUUAUUCGAAACAUAUGGGUUUGGUCCCAAGAAAAAGGGGGGUCUUACAUUUAUUUUUUUCAAUCCACUAAUGGCCACAUAUACGUUACUAGUAUAAUUUUCGUGUGUACUAAGACUAUACCAUGUGGUGGUGUAUUGUCAUAGGCAUCCUAGAUUCCUAUCUGGCCAACAUUGUUAGCAGUCGAUAGCAAACAGUAGGGGUGAAUAUUUGGAUCGGAUCGGACCGGUUUCGGAGAAUACUGUGGAUCAUCG
rnacentral:lncRNA from 1 species